UACGUAGGUGGCAAGCGUUGUCCGGAUUUACUGGGCGUAAAGAGCGCGCAGGCGGCUGGUCAAGUCCGAUGUGAAAGCUCCCGGCUUAACUGGGAAACGGCAUCGGAAACUGAUCGGCUUGAAGGUGGGAGAGGGUAGUGGAAUUCCCGGUGUAGUGGUGAAAUGCGUAGAUAUCGGGAGGAACACCAGUGGCGAAGGCGACUACCUGGCCCACUCUUGACGCUGAGGAGCGAAAGCGUGGGGAGCGAACAGG
rnacentral:rRNA from 1 species